GGUAUUUUCUUAGCUCUGGUCCCCAAAAUUGAGAACUUACGGAGAUUUUGUUCUCCAAGAUUUCUGAAUGCAUAGCCAUGGCAUUAUUUUUCUUCUUGUCUUUAAUAUAUACUAAAUGAAAUAGUCGUCAAGCAGAGUCAAGUGAAAACUUUCUGUAGCCUUAGUUAUAUUAACAAAUCUGGCACCAUGUUUUCUAGGACUAUAUUUUAUAUCCUCUUCUACAGGUGGAAUAACGCUUUCUUGUUUUGUGUAAGCUGCAAACGUACUGGGUAGUCCCGUUACCUGCACUGCUCAUCUUUAGCAUUCUUUUUAUUUCUCUAUUUUAUGACCCUUGAAGUAGAUGUAGUUGUGAUGCACUUUACCCUUUGAGACUUGGUAAAUGUAUUUUCAGUCUCUUUAAAGGUUGUGUUGUUAGGUUUAGUGUCUGUAAUUUAGGAUUCAGUUUUCAGCUGAAGUCUCACCACAGUAUUUAGCUCGUAUUUAUUUUGGCCCCACAGGUGUAUAGAGUGAGAAUCUUCAAGUAGGUAACAAAUUUCUGUAGUAACUAAGACCUUUAGUUUCCACACAGUAGGUCCUGCAAGAAUGGCAACACCGCUACCAGUUCUACUUUUCUUCCAUAGCAUGCAAUUGGCUGCUGCCCUUCGAGCACAUUGAACGAGGGAAAGCCUUUAACUGUAGAUAUUCCUUCAGUGCAAUGACUUGUGAAAGACAUUGGAGUAUCUUUUAAAGAAAGAAAAUGUUGAAGCAGUGACCAAAAGUAUGUAAUAAAGAUUGUACCGGAAAUAGACUCAGUGAGAAUCUAAUCCAUUGGUUGUAUAACAAAAAUAUUUCUCCUCAAAUCAAUGCGAAGAGGGAGUCUAAUCUUAAUUUUGUAGUGUUUCUAUGUGACUCCAGAAGAAAAUCUAAAAAUGACCUUUAGCUAUUAUUUCUGAAUGUUUUUUUUCUCCCGAAAAGUAAGUUUUGCAUUUGUGUUAAAUUUAAUGGUGUGCACUGAAACACUAUUCCUAUUAAAGUCUACAAAGCUUUUGUAGAAAUCUGAAGGGUUUUAAACAUAAUGAGUAUCAUAAACUGCUUAAUUUCCACUCCCCUCACUGCCCCUAGAUACUAAACAUUUGUGUGUGUUUAAACCUCUGACCAGGGCUUCAGUAUACAAGUGACCAGGGAAAGGUCUUAGCUGUAUCAAGUCCAAAACAAUGUCAGACAGGGCUGCUCUUCUGCUGGAAACUGACCAGCAGUUGAUUUUGCUGGAUUUUUGACGGUGUGUUUGCUCAGAAUCUGUUUUUUAUGUAACUACUUCACAUUGAGGCGGAAUCAUGAAAUAGUAGAUUGUCUUCACUGUUGGGGAAGUAAAACUGCAAGUUCUGGUCAGCUUCAUGUACUACUUUGAGCAUAUAAUGCUGUAUUUGAUUUGGACCUCUAUUCCUGAGCAGUAUUCUCCUCUUUGUGUAAUGUGGGUUCAGUGGUGAUUUUUUUUUUUUUUUUUUUUUUUUUUGCACUGUACAAACUAACGUAGUGGUUGCAAAUAAGAUAAAACUGAUUUAUUAGGAACUGGUAGUUGACUGGGAUCUGAAGUCUUUCUGUAACCCCCAAGAAGCCAAAAGAAAUUUGAUCCUUCUGGUUUGAUAGAAAGGAUUAGGUGGUUUUGGAAUUUAAUGAUAAGAUCUUUUUCCAUCUUUUCUUUGAUACAGCAAAUUAGGAGUUUAUAUUUGACAGUAUUCACUUAAUAUCGACUUAAGUUCAUUUACAUCUUUAUUUUUAAAUUCAUAUACACUCCAAAAAAAAAAAAAAAGAAAAAAAAAAAAAAGAAGAAAUUCCACCACAAAAGACUGCGUUAAGAUGGAGUCAGGGCUGUUGAUGUCCUUCAUACACAGCAUGCAUUGAAAAGACACAAAGUCGUGAGUAAAUGUCCUUUCACAGUCUUUAGAAAUUACUUCCUCUUUUGGACAAGAUAAGUGAAUAAAAAAGAGUCUUAGCAACUGUAACUCUGACCAUUUGUACGUUAUUUCUUGUGAUAUUGUGCUGUAAGGUAUGUGACUGAGUUAUCAGAUGUCUUCUGAGGAUGUUACCCUAAUGUGGCGUUUGCUCCAGAUUAACGCAGUAUUUUGUUUGGAAAUAUGUAGGUGUACAGAUAGAACAUGAGAUAUAAAGUUACCUUUAAAGUUGAUGAAACAAGUUUUGGACAUUUCUAUAUUUUUAUAUAUUACAAAGGGCAUUUUGAAUUUUUUCUUGCAGUUUUAAUAAUUAUUUUGUGUGGUUAACAUACAUUGUGACACUGUUUUCUGAUAUACCCAUUACUUUGGUGUAAUUCUAUCUUAUGUAGCAAAUAUGUGCAUAUACAAAGGAGAUUCUGUAAAAAUACGAUCAUGAAAUAGGCUCGAGCCCUUUGCAACAGGGACUGUCUUCCUGCGUGUCUGCAAAGCCCUUCAUGCCUCGGGGUCCCAGCCAUAGCUCCCGUCCGAGACCUGUGGUGAAUAAACUGUCACGAGAUGAAUGUGGAGGAGCAGCUCUUCUGCUCUCUGAAGAAGCCUUAGUACAAAGGUGCCAUGAAGCUCACCUUGCCGCUCCCCAGUGCCAGGGCCAUGCCAUGUGUGGUUACUCUCAACCACUUGCCAGCUGCCCAGAGAGCCUGGGGUCGGUGUGUCCUUUGCUCUGGUCCUUCCCUUUGGCAGUAGAAAAGGAAGUCUGAGGUAGGAGCUUUGAUGUCAUCAGGGAAUCUGCCUUCCUAGUGCUUGGGCCUCAUGCAACAUCCCUUGAAGCCAAACAACUAAUUCAUAUCUGCGUCUGGGCCUACGGGUGUGUCCCUACAAGAUUGAGUUCUGCUGACAACAGCUCUGUUACACCUGAGGACCUGGUUGGUCGAGUUCUUCAGGAAUGGUCUAAAAAUACUGUAAAAAUAUAAAUAUAUUUAAUUACAUGUACUGAAAACAGAAAUCCUAUUUGUUGUGGUCAGAGUUCAGAUUACUAUGUGAGUUUUGAUUUCUUAGUCAUACCUGCAUAUAUAUUGCUUUAACUAUUGUGUGUGAAAGAGGAAGUGAUUCUAAAGUGUGUGAAAGAUCAGGAUUACACCUGUAUCUGUAAUGGUUGUGUUAUUUAGGAAUGGAUAUCAGUGAACUUAACUCCAUAUUAAUGCAGUUUUUUUGCAUUAGAAUAUGUGUGUAUAUCAUACACCUGCAUUUUAUAUAUAAUAUAUUAUAUAUUUGGUACUAACUUUGUAUUUUCCCUGAAAUUUGCCAAAUCUUGAAGACAAAUGUUCUCACUUGUAAGACUUUGGUACUUAAUAACUGAAUGUAUAUGAAAUGCUCUGGUAUGAAAGACAGUAAUGUUGUACAGUACCCCACAAUACAGAUGUCUCAACCAGCAGGCGUGUUGCCUUCUUUGCGUGUUACAUCUCAAUCCACUGCAGCAUCACCUUAUGUCUCAUGAAAUAUUGUCUGUGUUUUUAACUAAACUGCGGAGCUGCCCUUACAGUACAGCUGACAACAGUUCUAUCAUGUGUGCUGGCUGGUAGGAGUAAGAAUACAGUAGUCACCAGUGUGCCACAAAUGCAUUUGUUAAAUGCAGAAAUACACAUUUCUACAAAGGCCAAAAUCGUAUGUUGUAUGUUCCUUUCUUGUCAUUACAUUGUAUGAUAUUGUAAGAUUAUUGUAUGUCCUAAUUUGCAUUAUAAAAUGUUUUUUCCUACUUAAAGGCAUAAAUAUAGCAACUUUGUAUAAAGGUAGCUUUCUAGAUUUUUAUUUCUUUUAUAUAAAAAGGUCUAAACAGUGAGAGUAUCAUUGCCAAACUGUUUAUAAAAUUUCAGUUAAUUUGCCCUGUUCGAUGAAUUUGUUUUUACAAACAUUCCAUUUUUCUUUCAUGAGAAUUAUAUUAUACUAUGCAGAAAGAGUGUAUUUUUAUGCCAUUCCAUGUUAAUCUUAAAACAAAAACCACAAAAAAAACUAAGCAAACAAACAAACAAACCCCUUGUUUUAAGCUAUCCUUAUUGAGAAAGCUUACCAAAUGUUCAUUUUUAAAGGUAUGAUGUAUGAUGACAACAUUUUCCCCUUUACCAGUGCCAACUUCAUUUGGAAAAAAAAUAAUAAUUGUAGCAUGGCAAUAAACUAUUGAUUUUACAU
ensembl:lncRNA